UACGGAGGGUGCGAGCGUUAAUCGGAAUUACUGGGCGUAAAGCGUGCGCAGGCGGUUUGUUAAGCGAGAUGUGAAAGCCCCGGGCUCAACCUGGGAACCGCAUUUCGAACUGGCAAACUAGAGUCUUGUAGAGGGGGGUAGAAUUCCAGGUGUAGCGGUGAAAUGCGUAGAGAUCUGGAGGAAUACCGGUGGCGACGGCGGCCCCCUGGGCCUGUACUGACGCUCAUGCACGAAAGCGUGGGGAGCAAACAGG
rnacentral:rRNA from 1 species